rnacentral:rRNA from 1 species
UUGUUUGGAGAGUUUGAUUCUGGCUCAGGACGAACGCUGGCGGCGUGCUUAACACAUGCAAGUCGAACGGAAAGGCCCUUCGGGGUACUCGAGUGGCGAACGGGUGAGUAACACGUGGGUGAUCUGCCCUGCACUUUGGGAUAAGCCUGGGAAACUGGGUCUAAUACCGAAUAUGACCAUGCACUUCCUGGUGUGUGGUGGAAAGCUUUUGCGGUGUGGGAUGGGCCCGCGGCCUAUCAGCUUGUUGGUGGGGUAAUGGCCUACCAAGGCGACGACGGGUAGCCGGCCUGAGAGGGUGACCGGCCACACUGGGACUGAGAUACGGCCCAGACUCCUACGGGAGGCAGCAGUGGGGAAUAUUGCACAAUGGGCGCAAGCCUGAUGCAGCGACGCCGCGUGAGGGAUGACGGCCUUCGGGUUGUAAACCUCUUUCAGCACAGACGAAGCGCAAGUGACGGUAUGUGCAGAAGAAGGACCGGCCAACUACGUGCCAGCAGCCGCGGUAAUACGUAGGGUCCGAGCGUUGUCCGGAAUUACUGGGCGUAAAGAGCUCGUAGGUGGUUUGUCGCGUUGUUCGUGAAAACUCACAGCUUAACUGUGGGCGUGCGGGCGAUACGGGCAGACUUGAGUACUGCAGGGGAGACUGGAAUUCCUGGUGUAGCGGUGGAAUGCGCAGAUAUCAGGAGGAACACCGGUGGCGAAGGCGGGUCUCUGGGCAGUAACUGACGCUGAGGAGCGAAAGCGUGGGGAGCGAACAGGAUUAGAUACCCUGGUAGUCCACGCCGUAAACGGUGGGUACUAGGUGUGGGUUUCCUUCCUUGGGAUCCGUGCCGUAGCUAACGCAUUAAGUACCCCGCCUGGGGAGUACGGCCGCAAGGCUAAAACUCAAAGAAAUUGACGGGGGCCCGCACAAGCGGCGGAGCAUGUGGAUUAAUUCGAUGCAACGCGAAGAACCUUACCUGGGUUUGACAUGCACAGGACGAGGUGGUGCAUGGCUGUCGUCAGCUCGUGUCGUGAGAUGUUGGGUUAAGUCCCGCAACGAGCGCAACCCUUGUCCUAUGUUGCCAGCGGGUUAUGCCGGGGACUCGUAGGAGACUGCCGGGGUCAACUCGGAGGAAGGUGGGGAUGACGUCAAGUCAUCAUGCCCCUUAUGUCCAGGGCUUCACACAUGCUACAAUGGCCGGUACAAAGGGCUGCGAUGCCGUGAGGUGGAGCGAAUCCUUGUAAAGCCGGUCUCAGUUCGGAUCGGGGUCUGCAACUCGACCCCGUGAAGUCGGAGUCGCUAGUAAUCGCAGAUCAGCAACGCUGCGGUGAAUACGUUCCCGGGCCUUGUACACACCGCCCGUCACGUCAUGAAAGUCGGUAACACCCGAAGCCGGUGGCCUAACCCCUUGUGGGAGGGAGCCGUCGAAGGUGGGAUCGGCGAUUGGGACGAAGUCGUAACAAGGUAGCCGUACCGGAAGGUGCGGCUGGAUCACCUCCUUUCUAA